rnacentral:siRNA from 1 species
ACUUACCAGGUCCAGACAUAG